rnacentral:rRNA from 1 species
CGAGAGCAAGCGGACCUCAUAAAGUGCGUCGUAGUCCGGAUUGGAGUCUGCAACUCGACUCCAUGAAGUCGGAAUCGCUAGUAAUCGUAGAUCAGAAUGCUACGGUGAAUACGUUCCCGGGCCUUGUACACACCGCCCGUCACACCAUGGGAGUGGGUUGCAAAAGAAGUAGGUAGCUUAACCUUCGGGAGGGCGCUUACCACUUUGUGAUUCAUGACUGGGGUGAAGUCGUAACAAGGUAACCGUAGGGGAACCUGCGGUUGGA